rnacentral:lncRNA from 1 species
CUUGCCACUUUUCCAAAGUUGGUGGUUGUCAUUAUUGAUUGUCUCCCAUUAAUGUUAAUGGCAACCAUUAUUAAUUGUCUUCUAUUAAUGUUAACAAUCUCCACCUUGAAGAUUUGAUUAGGAUAAUCACAUCUUCACACACUUCCUUCAACUCCCCAAAUUCGAUAAAGCUAUCUUUUGUAGUGCCUACAAAUGCGCUCUCGAGCGCCAUACACCUGAAGGUGCUCAAAUUCUCAGGAUGUUAAUCAAGUUCAAACAAUGAUUAAACUUGAUUGUUGUUACCACCUUGGUCAUCAUAUCUGCGGGAUUAUCUGCUGUAGGAAUCUUCUGAAGUAGAAUUUUUCUUUUUUCAAAG